rnacentral:lncRNA from 1 species
UCUCUGUGAUCAAAGUCAGUUGUGCAUUUCAGAGCAGGGAGAGACUGUUAGCUCCAGCAGGCGUCGCUGCUGUGCUCUGGUUAACACUCCAGCACCAUGUGUGAACAAAGCAGUAUGUCAUAUCCAGGACCUGAAGCCCAAACUGGAAAACUGGGGCCAACAGGGUGAUAAUGCUCAGCAUGAAACUGCACAUGAAAACAACCACAGUGUCGUUUGGAAUGCCACAGAUGUCCUGAUGGAGGUGAUGAGUUUGAUCGAGCGUCUUGAGUUGGACCGCAGAGAGGCAGAGAAGGCUCUACUGGAAGAAAAGGAGAAAGCAAAGAAACUUUCAGAGAAAUUGCACAGCCUCCGUCUCUGGAAGCAGAAUGAGUUUCCUAUAGCAGUGCAGAAAGGUCA